AGAGUUUGAUCAUGGCUCAGGAUGAACGCUAGCUACAGGCUUAACACAUGCAAGUCGAGGGGAAACGACAUCGAAAGCUUGCUUUUGAUGGGCGUCGACCGGCGCACGGGUGAGUAACACGUAUCCAACCUGCCCAUCACUUGGGGAUAACCUUGCGAGAGUAAGACUAAUACCCAAUGACGUCUCUAGAAGACAUCUGAAAGAGAUUAAAGAUUUAUCGGUGAUGGAUGGGGAUGCGUCUGAUUAGCUUGUUGGCGGGGUAACGGCCACAAGGCGACGAUCAGUAGGGGUUCUGAGAGGAAGGUCCCCACAUUGGAACUGAGACACGGUCCAAACUCCUACGGGAGGCA
rnacentral:rRNA from 1 species